GGUUAAGGUAUGAAUUCCAGAGUUUAGAUCUCAGACAGGUUGUAAAAAGUACACACUAACUGUGGACAAAGAAAAUCGGGGAUGUGGAAAAGGCCGGUUGUAAAAAAGCACAAAACCUUGAAUGAUUGAAAGGUUAAAGCGGAUUAGUGACAUAAGGAGCAGCAAAAUAAUUGAAGGACAUACAUAGUACCAGAAGCAAAAGAAGAAGAAAAUAUAUGGACACUGUGAAAGAAAUAACAAAUCUAAAUAUGCGUGAUAUCAUUGACGCUGCGAGGGAUCAUUCGACGUGGAGAGCCACGAUCACCCAAACGUGUAACGCACAAGGCACAUGAAGAAGAAGACCCAGUACCUCUCCUGGCAGUGACUUCCAGAUUUGUGGGCUGCUCACCUUGCAACUGUUUGACAGAGUCCUGAAGAUAUCCAGAGUCAAAAUAUUGAAAUAGUGAUUACAUUGACAGCUGCUGAUAAAGCACAGCCACCAGUAUGCAAUAGGUCACGUUCAGCAUGCUUCUCACGUCCUGAUGCUAGUUUCUGAGACUAUGGAGACACCAGAUGGGGGAGAAGCUUAUUGGCAGCUAUUAGCACAGAAGUGCAAAGUCCAGCCAGCUUUGAACUGCACUUCUCUGAUUGUUCCCGUAUCACAAGGAUCUGUUGGCUUCAUUCCAAAUAUGUCUGCCAGUGCAGAUGUAAUCAUCUUUGUCCUCACCUGAGGUUCAAAGGAAUGCAGUUUGUGCUAAACAAGUGGAUCAAGUUUCCUCUCGUCAGACCUUCGAGCUUCUAAGUAAAUAAAGUAACCUUUCAGUACAAGUACUGUGAGAAAACUUUUUAACAGACACAGAAGCUGUGUGUGAGUUGAGUAUUUGGUGGCAUACUUCAUUGUCGUACCAUCUUGAAGCCCUGAUAAAUGUAAAACACUGCAGCACUGUGGUGAACGACAUAUACCUGUCUGGACACGCCCUUCUGCUGACUGCUCCUGUGGCUCCUCCCACAGACCCCUGUAUAAAGGCGAUUGGAGGCACUGCUCCUCCCUCAGUCUCCAGGAUGUUGUGUGGUGGGCUCUUGCUGCUAA